rnacentral:rRNA from 1 species
UCUGAAUCUGCGUACGGCUCCGCAAACCAGUUGUAAACUAUAGCAAGCAAGCUCAGGGCUGGCCUUCACUGGCCGGCUCGGGGCGAUAUGGAUAACCCUGGUAAUUCUGAGGCUAAUACAAGAGUGUAAACCUUGGAGGACCGGCUUCGGCUGGGAAUCUGGGGGAUGUGCGAUUGCAGGCUUGGUAACACCGGGAAAGGGCGCACGUUCAGAUCACGCUAAAAAGGUCGGGCUCCUUCGGGGGCCUGCCCCAGUGACUCUUGCUGUGUGCUUCUGACCUAUCAACUAGACGGCAGCGUAACGGAAU